rnacentral:piRNA from 1 species
UUGCAGUUUGAAUCCGCUACUCAGGAUUUC